CUAUAGUGCAUGGAAGAACCGGCUCUUGUUAAACUAGGGUAUUGGUUUUGUGGUAAUGAGAGAAAAAGAAAAGUCGAAGUCGACGAACGAGAUGAAGUUGGUGCUUUCCUCGAUCUUUCAAUCGGUGCUCGCGUCAAAGAAUCUCGUCGUUGUCUUUCGUCGAAGAAGAAAUCUCGUUAUGGAGUUGGGUGAAAUCGAAGACAAUUGGCCAUGGAAGAUACACAAGGAGUCCUCCUGAAGUGAGGGCGGAGAUGUUUUGUCAAUUGACGAGUGGACUCGAUGCUGCUUGGACCAAACUCAAAGGAGAAGAUGUCAUGACGAAGGAGAAUAUUGCUGAGCCAAUGAAGGAUAUCAGAAGAGCUCUCCUUGAAGCAGAUGUGAGUUGGUGUUUCUUGUUCCCUGUCAUAGGGGAACAUGGAAGGAAACCGGCGACCGUCAUCCAAAAAUAGGGGAAGGUGCAUUGCUUGGAGCCUGUGUGACUGUACUUGGAAACAUAAGCAUAGGUGCUGGGGCAAUGGUAGCUGCAGGUUCACUUGUGUUAAAGGACGUUCCUCCGCAUAGGUAUAAAAGAAAGUGAGUCUAAAAAAAUCUUCAAUGUUUGUGGGUUAGUAACUAUGUACAGCCUUUUUUGGGAUUCUUGAAGUGUGGUUGCUGGAAAUCCUGCAAAACUGAUCAGGGUCAUGGAUGAGCAAGACCCGUGUCUGGCAAUGAAAUAUGGUUUGAAGUUGCGGCUGCUACAGAAGAUGGGAGUGGAGAGCUUGAACGUGAUGUUGCAGCUGGUUUGUUUCUUCAUCACUUGAUAGGUAAGUUGUUGAUCUUGUUCUCGGUAUGGCAAAAACUUGUAAUGCUUAAAUGAUCUUUGUUUUAUGUUGCUCUUGUUAUGCAAUUGAGAGAGUCACAAGACAAUGAACAUAGUUGUAUUUGUUUUCUUGUUAUGCAAUUGAGAAAGUCAGGAGACAAUGAACCUUUAACAUA